GGAAGGGUGCGUAACGCGUGAGCAACAUGCCCUAUACAGGGAGAUACACCAGGGAAACUUGGUCUAAUAUCCCAUAGCAUUCAUUGAAGGCAUCUUUAAUGAAUUAAAGCUUCGGUGGUAUAGGAUUGGCUUGCGUGACAUUAGCCAGAUGGUGAGGUAACGGCUCACCAUAGCAAUGAUGUCUAGGGGUUUUGAGAGGAAGGCCCCCCACACUGGGACUGAGACACGGCCCAGACUCCUACGGGAGGCAGCAGUGAGGAAUAUUGGACAAUGGAUGGAAAUCUGAUCCAGCCAUGCCGCGUGCAGGAAGACGGCCUUAUGGGUUGUAAACUGCUUUUAUACGGGAGCAAUAAGGGUUACGAGUAAUCCGAUGAGAGUACUGUAUGAAUAAGGAUCGGCUAACUCCGUGCCAGCAGCCGCGGUAAUACGGAGGAUCCGAGCGUUAUCCGGAAUUAUUGGGUUUAAAG
rnacentral:rRNA from 1 species